rnacentral:rRNA from 1 species
AUUGAACGCUGGCGGCGUGCCUAACACAUGCAAGUCGAGCGGUAACAGGUGUAGCAAUACAUGCUGACGAGCGGCGAACGGGUGAGUAAUGCUUCGGAAUCUACCUUAUGGUGGGGAAUAACUAGCCGAAAGGUUAGCUAAUACCGCAUACGUCCUACGGGAGAAAGCAGGGGAUCGUAAGACCUUGCGCCAAAAGAUGAGCCGAAGUCGGAUUAGCUAGUUGGUAGGGUAACGGCCUACCAAGGCGACGAUCCGUAACUGGUCUGAGAGGACGACCAGUCACACCGGAACUGAGACACGGUCCGGACUCCUACGGGAGGCAGCAGUGGGGAAUAUUGGACAAUGGGGGAAACCCUGAUCCAGCGACGCCGCGUGGGUGAAGAAGGCCUGCGGGUUGUAAAGCCCUUUCAGUGGGGAAGAAAAGCCUCGACCUAAUACGUCGGGUCUUGACGUAACCCAUAGAAGAAGCACCGCUAACUCUGUGCCAGCCGCCGC